GAAAGCCAAGAGGUGAUUUGAAGGCUUGUCAAAUAUUGAGAGAACAUGGGUUGUGGAUGAAUCGUGAUAAACGGAUUGUCGGGCCGAUUCCUGGAGUGCUUAUCGGGGAUGUGUUCUUCUUUAGGAUGGAGCUUUUGGUUGUUGGAUUGCAUGGGCAGGCUCAAGCUGGAAUUGAUUAUGUACCUGCAAGUCAGAGUUCGAACCGGGAGCCAAUUGCUACAAGUGUGAUUGUUUCAGGUGGCUAUGAGGAUGACCAAGAUGGAGGAGAUGUGAUUAUAUAUACAGGUCAUGGUGGACAGGACAAGCAUUCGCGGCAAUGCGUGCAUCAGAAGCUUGAAUGUGGGAAUUUGGCAUUGGAGAGAAGUAUGCACUACGGAAUUGAGGUAAGGGUAAUUCGUGGCUUUAAAUAU
rnacentral:misc_RNA from 1 species